AGCACUUCAUAAUUACAUUUUGCUAAUUAAGUAAAAAAAAAAAAAUCUUCAAAAUCAAAGGUUAUCAGCUCUUCAACUUCAUUUUCAGUUUUGGGUUCCUUUAUUUCAUUUUUUUGAUUAAUUUCUUUGUUAUUUCUGUAUGUAUAUAUAUUUAUCAUGGUUUGCCUUUCAUAAUCUGAUCAUGUAUUGUUUUAAUAGAUAUGACACAAUUAUGCAAUGAAAAGUAUGUCAAUGCGCUGAUAAACAAACCAAACAAUAAAUGAUUGGUGAACCUCCAUUGCAUUCUGGUAGACACCCUUGAGAAGUUGGAUCAGAUCUUGACAAAGCAAGUCAUGCUCCGCCAGAAAGUGGAUGCCCGCGAGAUGAUGAGGGCAAAUGUCCGUGCCUCUGGGGUAGAUGUUGUUGAUGUGCUCCCCCUUCCUCCCUCUCUCUUCAUAGUUAAUUUUAGGUUUUCUUAGAACCCUACCUCCCACCCUGCAUGUUAAUGUUUUUGGCAGGAUUUCUUUUUGAUUCUGUUUGAUGUUUUUAUUUUAAAUUUGAUAAUGAAUUUUAUGUUUUUCUUUUCAUAUGAUGCGAAAUGCUUGCUGGAUCUAACAAUUCGUGUUUAGUUACUUCAAUUUUUCAUAAUUUUUUUCCUUAUCAUAUCAACGCUUAACACACUUUUAAAUUCUAAAACAGAACAAAAAUUUUCAUGACAGAAUGAAAAAUUGAUCCUACCAAAUUAAUAUGAUAACAUAAACAUUAGCAUUUUUGUGAUUAAAAUUGUCAAUUAGCAUAAUCAAAAGGGAAAGAACGUAGUAGUUGUCUAUUAAUUAUCCAUUUUUAUUUGCUUGACUUCUUUGCUAAUUGUUUUCUUAUAACUAUUAAUGUUG
rnacentral:lncRNA from 1 species